rnacentral:rRNA from 1 species
UACGUAGGGUGCAGGCGUUAAUCGGAAUUACUGGGCGUAAAGCGUGCGCAGGCGGUUUCUUAAGUCAGAUAUGAAAGCCCCGGGCUUAACCUGGGAACUGCGUUUGAAACUGGGAGACUUGAGUGUGGCAGAGGGGGGGUGGAAGUUCCAACGGUGUAGCAGUGAAAUGCGUAGAUAUGUGGAGGAACACCGAUGGCGGAAGGCAGCCCCCUGGGUUAACACUGACGCUCGAUGCACGAAAGCGUGGGGAGCAAACAGG